rnacentral:tRNA from 1 species
UAGCAUAGUGGUUAGUGCCCAGCCCCGGAUAGGUUGAGACGCGGGUUCGAAUCCCGC